rnacentral:misc_RNA from 1 species
CAACCCCUCAAGCUCAGCUUGGUGUUGGGCUGCGCCAGCGUUGCUGGCGGGCCUUAAAAUCAGUGGCGGUGCCGUUUGGGCUCCAAGCGUAGUAGCAUCUCUCGCUCUGGAGACCCGGCGGUUGCUUGCCAGACAAUCACCAAAAAACAAAG